rnacentral:rRNA from 1 species
UACAGAGGGUGCAAGCGUUGUCCGGAAUUAUUGGGCGUAAAGGGCUCGUAGGCGGUCUGUCACGUCGGGAGUGAAAACUCAGGGCUUAACCCUGAGCCUGCUUCCGAUACGGGCAGACUAGAGGUAUGCAGGGGAGAACGGAAUUCCUGGUGUAGCGGUGAAAUGCGCAGAUAUCAGGAGGAACACCGGUGGCGAAGGCGGUUCUCUGGGCAUUACCUGACGCUGAGGAGCGAAAGUGUGGGGAGCGAACAGG